rnacentral:rRNA from 1 species
AUUGAACGCUGGCGGCAGGCUUAACACAUGCAAGUCGAACGAGUGGCGGACGGGUGCGUAAUGCUUGGGAAUCUGGCUUAUGGAGGGGGAUAACGACGGGCAACUGUCGCUAAUACCGCGUAACACAGGUUGAGCCCAAGUGGGAUUAGGUAGUUGGUGGGGUAAUGGCGUACAAAGCCUACGAUCCCUAGGGGGUCUGAGAGGAUGACCGGCCACACCGGGACUGAGACACGGCCAGGAUUCCUACGGGAGGCAGCAGUGGGGAAUAUUGCGAAAUGGGGGCAACCUGACGCAGCCAGGCCGCGGGAUGGAAGAAGUCCUUGGGGUUGUAAAGUUCGUUCGGUGACGAGGCGUUAAUCACAGAAGAAGAACCGGCUAACUCCGUGCCAGCAGCCGCGGUAAUUC